rnacentral:rRNA from 1 species
CCUUUGUACACACCGCCCGUCGCUACUACCGAUUGAAUGGCUUAGUGAGGUCUCCGGAUUGGCUUCUGGGAGCCGGCAACGGCACCUAGUCGCUGAGAAGUUGAACGAACUUGGUCAUUUAGAGG